CACCACCACCACCACCACCACCACCUCUUCCUUCUCCUCCAAUUUCUUCAACUCCUACUCCUACUAAUAGUAAUAUGCCAUCAUCAAUGCAGACAAUAGUUAGGAAUAGCACUGAUUCAUAUCCACCAUUAAAGAAGGGUCGUGGACCUACAAGAGGUAAGGGCACAGAUACUAUUGUACAAAUGUCA